rnacentral:lncRNA from 1 species
CUUUAAGGCUUCGAAUUUUUUUAGUUUUACUGUUGUGGGAACCUUUGAGAGCAGUACAGUUUUCAUCAUUAACUUGGUAGUCAGAAUCUGCACGUCAGCACGUCAUCUCCAGAUUACUCCUUUCGAUUAGCUUAUGCUUCAAAGUUCAAACCUGAGAACAAGUAGUACAUCCCCAUUAGGUAGUAGAUGAUUCGUAGUAAAGACAUGCUUACAAUCAUUAAGGAGAAGAUUCAUCUCAUGUUGUAAUCGAUAUAUUCUUGCUCCAAUCAUCGGCCCUUGUACCCGUUCAUGAGUACCUUGAUCGUGUUUAGCAUGGGUCAGUAGUGUCAUGAUGGAUGUUCUCAUGAGAGGGAGUAGUCGAAUGGAAUGUAAUUAGAUCCAGAAAGACGAUCCAAACCUGGAUGGGCUGAUAAACGCCAUGAGUGGAGCUUCUCCUCAUGCAAACGCAGGAGGCCACCGUUCGAC